GCGUGGUGUAGUGGUUAAGAGCGACAGACUCUUAAUCUAGUGAACUGGGUUCGAUUCCCUGCUCCUCCA